rnacentral:rRNA from 1 species
UACAGAGGGUGCGAGCGUUAAUCGGAAUUACUGGGCGUAAAGGGUGCGUAGGCGGUGCUCUAAGUCGGAUGUGAAAACUCUGGGCUCAACCCAGAGCCUGCAUCCGAAACUGGAGUGCUAGAGUUCUGGAGGGGGUAGCGGAAUUCCUGGUGUAGCGGUGAAAUGCGUAGAUAUCAGGAGGAACACCGGUGGCGAAGGCGGCUACCUGGACAGAAACUGACGCUGAGGCACGAAAGCUAGGGGAGCAAACAGG